rnacentral:tRNA from 1 species
UUCUCGGUGGCGCAGUUGGUUAGCGUGCUUAUCUAGAAACUAAGAGGCCGCGGGUUCGAUCACUGCUCGGGGAC